GUCUACGGCCAUACCACCCUGAACGCGCCCGAUCUCGUCUGAUCUCGGAAGCUAAGCAGGGUCGGGCCUGGUUAGUACUUGGAUGGGAGAAGUGCUCUGCUAAUAGAGGAGUCCAAUCCAGUGCCUUCUUCU
ensembl:rRNA 5S_rRNA 5S ribosomal RNA